AAGAUUUAACUUGAAAUUAUUGAGACUUUGCGUUAAUAAUAUUGGAAAACGAAGUCUGGAGAAAAGUAAAUUGUUUUUCUAAACGUUUGACCUACGAUCAAAUAGCCUAGGGAAAAAAACAGGCUUAUAUAAACUGCAGAUUGAAACGUAACGGAUGCACAACUAAGAGCUGCAUUCAUUUUUGUUGAACUCACUUAAAACGUUUAAAUCAAAUCUGUAAUAACCAGUAGGCUGCAUAAUUAAACCGCAGGUCAUUUUGCUGUGUGAGGCUGUGACAGUGAAGUGCCAUUCAAGUCUCUGGUAAAUUUGUCAAAUCAAGAUAAGCCUCACAAUUAGGAGAAAAUAACUUCUCAGAGCCACUUCAGACACCAAUAAAUAAUAACCCCCCCAAAAAUGGACGCCAAUUUUUUUGAACCGAAACGACUGCCAGAGGAGCCGAUAAUAAACCAGUUUUUCAUUGUUAAAACUGAAAUGAGUAGCUAAUUGCGGGGGAAGUGAGCUUUCUCUGGAGCGCGCGCAGCUGCACGCACUUGAGCGGCUCGCGGGCCUCACCCCCAGGUUCGACUGCGCGCGGGGCUCCAUUGUACAGAGGAGCAGGUCUGCGGCUCCCGGACUGAUUGUGCGUAAUUGCCAGCUAUGGGCGUCAACACUAACAGCCACUUCAAGUAUAAAACACCCCCCUCCUUCUUCUCUUUCUGUCUACCUGCUCUGAUCGGGAGGUCAAUUGAACUUAUCGGACACGCGGGCAGCUGCCUCGCAAACAUUUGCACCAGUCUUUGUCACACGUUUGUUAGUGGAAAAGAUUCCCUGGUUUAUCCAUCAAGUAAGAGAUGAUCUGAAGAGAUGGAAACCUAAUAACUAAUUUCUGUGGUAGUAGGAACAGGUUAGAAGUUCAUGAAGAAAAUUGGGAAGAAUAUCCGCCAAGAACAAAGCCUGUGAUCCCUGAAUGUUCAUCUUUCACAAACUGCAGUCUCUCAUCAAUGUCACACUCUCAUGACAAAGUCCCAAAUCAUGCAGCCGAGGUCAUAAAGAAUUAUCUUCAGUGACAAGAAGAACAAGGAGUCCUGCAACACAUGGUAUGCCUCCCACAGAGACCUCAUCUCAACGUCAUCCACUCAGUCUGGGGUCACAUGAAGAAACAGAAGCAACCGAGAUGCCUAAUUCCACAGAAGAGCUGUGGCAAGUUUUCCAAGAUGCUUGGAACAACCGACCUGCCAAGCAGCUUGAAAAGCUGUGUGCAAGUGUACCGAGGAGAACUGGUGCUGUUUUAAAAAGCAAAGUGUGGUCACA